GAACAACGAUCAUAUUAAUUUGAAGGUGGCGGGGCAGGAUGGUUCUAUGGUGCAGUUUAAGAUUAAGAGGCAUACACCACUCAGUAAACUAAUGAAAGCCUAUUGUGAACAACAGGGAUUGUCAAUGAGGUAGAUCAGAUUCCCAUUCGACGGGCAACCAGUCAAUGAAACAGACACACCUGCACAGUUGGAAAUGGAGGAUGAAGAUACAAUUGAUGUGUUCCAACAGCAGACGGGAGGUGUCUACUGAAAAGGGAACCUGCUUCUUUACUCCAGAACUCUGUUCUUUAAAGACCAAGAUUACAUUCUCAAUUAGAAAACUGCAAUUUGGUUCCACCACAUCCUGACUACUACCGUAUAGUUUUCUCUGUUCUUUCAUUUCCCCCUUCCCCAUUCCUUUAUUGUACGUAAAGUAACUGGUAUAUGUGCACAAGCAUAUUGCAUUUUUUUUUUUUAACUAAACAGCCAAUGGUAUGUUUUGACUGACAUCAAGGGGAGACGGGAUGGGGAAAAAUACUGAUUCUGUGAAAAUACCCCCUUUCUCCAUUAGUGGCAUGCUCAUUCAGCUCCUAUCUUUAUAUUCCAGUAAGUUAUUUUGCUCUCACUGUUUUAACAACAACAACAAAACAACAACAACAACAUAAAAAUCCUUGCAUACCUUGUUCAAUUGGAGAAUUUUAAUGUUUUUCAUUUAUCAUUGUAAAACCAAGGACAAUUUUAUAACUUUUUUGUACGUAGCUGUUACAUGUAGGGUAAUCUGUCUUUAAGUAAGGAUAAAUUACUCUAAAACAAAAAAGAAUCCUACAUAGUUUUCCCUUCAAGUCAAGCGUCUUGUUGUUUAAAUAAACUUCUUGUUUAAAAUGAAAAAAAAAAAAAGAAGCUAGAUCUCACAUUGUGUUCUUACCACAAUAAAAACAAAGUUAUGACAGAUAAGUAGGUAGUCAGCAGAAAAACAAACAAACAAAAAAAAAAAACAAAGAAAAAAGAAAACAAAGUUAACUCAGAAAAAAAUAAAAGGAGAUUAUACACGGCAGAUGUGGAACACAACAAAAAUAAUACUGUUGUUCACUAUGUGUUAACAGGGACUGAAGCUGGCUACAGAAAGAAUGUCCCAGCAACAAAGAGUGGGAAGCCCUGAGCAAAUUGUUAAAAGCUCCUUCUCAGUUUCUUCCCAAGAGAAGUUUUCAUCUCAGGGGUGGUCAUUUCUGGAGGCAGGGGCCUGCAGGAGACACCUUGGUAACAGGCAGGUCUGUUUGGCUUCCUGAAUCCAUGACAGUUGAUAAGCAAGGCCCCUUCAGAUGCUCUGUUGGGCAUUGCCUGGAGUGUGUAACCAGAUGGAGUGCCU
rnacentral:lncRNA from 10 species